GUGAAUCAUCGAAUCUUUGAACGCAAAUUGCACUCCCUUCGGAGAGUAUGCCUGUUUGAGGGUCAGCCUAAAAAAAAUCGACAUAGUCGCUGUUUUGCGGUGACAUUCGUCGGAAAUUGGGUCAUCUUAAACCUUUUGGUUUUAAGCGGCCUAAAAUUUUCUUUACGAUUCCACGAACGUUUCUAAGAUUUUCUUAUAUGUUUAAGGUAUCGAUCUUUAUUAGACGUGGCCGUUGCUUUGGACUGCGUCCCUAAAUUUC
rnacentral:misc_RNA from 1 species